rnacentral:lncRNA from 1 species
UUAAGGUGUGGCUGUCUAAUGGGUUAAACAGAACAGAUGGUGUUUGCUAUUCUGUACCAUGAGGUCUCUGGAAUUUGCUGUAUAAGAGAUUUGAGGUGGUCUUUAUAUAGGGAACUUCCUUAUAUGGCAGAGUCUAAACUAAAUGUUAUGACGUAAUUUGGGCUAUAUAGAACCAAGGACAAAGGAUUACACUCUCUUCCUGCUACGAUCCGUUUUGCUCUCCUCUCUGAUGUCAAGACGACUCUCUGUAACGUCGUUAAGAAGUACCAUCUGUUAAGUAUAUUAUUGUUUGCUGUUGAAUGUAGAAUAAAUACUUAUUUUUUAUAAAGAACGUCAGAUUGCGUAUUAGUACUUUUCAAUAAUAUAGACAUAUAUUAUUGUGGCAAGCCUGACCCAAAAGAAGAAAUAUCUAUAUAUAUAUAUAUAUAUACAUAAAAGACUUAUUCAACUAAAGAAAAACACAUCCCGAUAUUACAGUUAACCAUUGUUAGAAUAUGUAUGAGCUGGGGAGACAUUACAUGUUAAGCUUAGUAUGGCUUUAGCUAAUAACACGGUUUUGGUAGGUAUGUACGAUUAUAUGUAGGAUUAUUCAAGAGGUUAAUAGAGAGUAAACAGAGGCAUAUAAAAAUCAGACUUGUAUGUAAAGGUCUCUGACAGCUGCACUUGCACCUGGACCCGGUUGGGAGAGUAUGUGGGUCAUAGGAGAGUCUGUAGUGAAUCGCCGUUGAUCCGAUUCCUGCUGCUGGGAGGUGGUUGAGACCCUUCUUCUGGUACCAGGGAGGUGCUGCUGCUCGGGCAGGAGCGGGGGCAUCCCUCCAGCCCCAGGCUGGUGAGCAGGGCCGGACUGGCCCACCGGGAUACCGGGAAAUUUCCCGGUGGGCCGCGGCACCUGGGGGCUGCAGAGGUGUGUGCCAGCGGGUGGGCGGUCCGGUGGCACACUCAGAGGGGGCCGGCCGCGUUCCACGCUGGUGCCGCCGGACCGGGUGGCAGCCUCGCCGGUCCGGCGGCACUUCUAAUGCUGAGGACAGAGGAGCAUGAAGGAGGAGGGAGGAGCAUGUCUCUGUACCAUGCUCCCUCGCGGUUCCUGUGCUGGGAAUUGUGGGAACCGCUGUGCCCUGUGCUCUUCACAGAUGAAAGCAGGUUCACACUGAGCACAUGUGACAGACGUGACAGAGUCUGGAGAUGCCGUGGAGACCGUUCUUCUGCCUGCAACAUGCUCCAGCAUGACUGGUUUGGCAGUGGGCCAAUAAAAGUGUGGGGUGGCAUUUCUUUAGGGGGCCGCACAGCCCUUCAUGUGCUCGCCAGAAGUAGCCUGACUGCCAUUAGGUAACGAGAUGAGAUCCUCAGACCCUUUUUGAGACCAAAUGCUGGUGCGGUUGGCCCUAGGUUCCUCCUAAUGCAAGACAAUGCUAGACCACAUGUGGCUGGAGUGUGUCAGCAGUUCCUGCAAGAUGAAGGGAUUGAUGCUAUGGACUGGCCCGCCCGUUCCCCAGACCUGAAUCCAAUUGAGCACAUCUGGGACAUCAUGUCUCGCUCCAUCCACCCAGGGCCGGAUUAACAUAGGGGCUGAUGGAGCUGCAGCUCCAGGCCCAUGGAAUAUGCCCCCCCAAAAAAAUACACUACUCUUAGGUUUGCCACCUGACUGGUAUUUUACUGGCACAGCUGGUAUUUGAGGCUGCCUGGUCAGUGCCAGUAUUGCAGUAAUACCGGCAAUACAAAUGGUCGCCUAUAGGUCAACCAUUUUUCUCAGUAUUAACGGAAAUUACUCUGCAAUACCAGUACCAGCCAGUAGGGGUCACUGUGUGUGGAGAGAGGCAUGGAUAGGAAGUAACAGCAUAUCCCUCCCUGUCUCUCUCUACUACUCACUGAUCCGCAGCGGAGCAGCUGCACAGAGAGUCCAGACAGCAGCUCCCAGCCUGCAGAGACAGCCUACAGCUCAGGUAAGUGAGGGAUGGGAGAAAGGCAGCAGGGAGAAAUGGGGACACUGAGACACUAAGGGAUACUGCGAGACCUGGGGAAACUGAGCAACUAGGGGACACAUGGGGACACUGACACUAGGGGAUACUUUGAGAAAUGGGGACACUGAGACACAUGGGGACACUGUGAGACAUAGAGACAUUGGGACACGGAGACACUAGGGACACAGUGUCCCCAUGUCUCCCAGUGUCCCCAUGUCUCCCAGUGUCCCCAUGUCUCCCAGUGUCCCCAUGUCUCCCAGUGUCCCCUAGUCUCCCGGUGUCUGUGUCCCCAUGUCUCAGUGUCCCUAGUAUCUCAGUGUCCCCAUGGCUCCCAGUUUCCGCUAGUCUCCCAGUGUCUGUGUCCCCAUGUUUCCCAGUGUCCCUAGUGACUCAGUGUCUCCAUGUCUCCCAGUGUCCCCAAGUGUCUCAGUGCCCCAUGUCUCCCAGUGUCCCCAAGUGUCCCAAUGUCCCCGGGUCUCUCAGUGACAUGGGGACACAGUGAGACAUGGGGACACUGGGAGACUAGGGGACUGUGCAACAUGGGGACACUGACUCUGUGAUACAUAGGGACACUGAGAGACUGGGUGACUUGCGAGACUGAGAUAAUGGGAGACAGGGAGACACUGGGAACAAUCCAUCUAUACAGCAGAAUCAAACUGUGAGUAGUUUGUUGGUGAUUUUACAGAAUUAUCUCUUUUUUUUUCCAAUUAAGGUGGCAACCCAGACUACUCUUCACAUAUUCUUGCUUAAAGGAACACUAUAGGGUCAGGAAUAUAAUCAUGUAUUUAUUAUUUCCUUAUUAUGUUAAAACCACCAUUUAGCCCCCCUGCCCCCUCUUGCCUCCCUAAAUAUAGUAAACUCUUACUUGUAUUCAAAUCUGCAGCUGCUGGCACUGUCCAUGUCUGCCUCUGAACUGACUCUGUCUGCUGACAUCAUCGGAAGUGGUGGUCUGAGCAAAUUACAAUGCUUCCCCAUAGGAUUUGGCUGAGACUGCCAACUAGGCAGAUCAGGGGCAGAGCCAGCACAAGUCAAAUAUAGCCCUGGCCAAUCAGAAUCUCCUCGUGAAGAUAAAUUGAUUAACACCUUAAGGACCAAACUUCUGGAAUAAAAGGGAAUCAUGACAUGUCACACAUGUCAUGUGUCCUUAAGGGGUUAAAUGCAUCUCUGUGAGGAAAGUUCAGUGUCUGCAUGCAGAGAGUGGAGACACUGAAUGGCAGUGCUGCACACUAGGCAGUACUGCCCCAGGAGGCACCUCUAGCAGCCAUCUAAGGAGUGGCCAUCAGAGUUAUUUUCUCUGAAAAGACAGUGUUUACUGCGAAAAGCCUGGAGGUAAUGAUUAUUUUUACCAGAACAAAUACAAUAAGCUGUAGUUGUUCUGGUGACUAUAGUGUCCCUUUAAGUUUGGAAGCUUAAGAGGGAUGCAUGGGAACAAAACCUGUGUGGACUGGCUGACAAUAAAAAUAGUUUAGGUAAUGCAGACGUUGGUCUCUCUAACACUGUGGCAUGUCCCCUUUCUUACGCUACCUACAUACAUCUUUUCUCUGUCCCAGACUAUAUACCAGGAACUUCUGCCUGCUAGUAAGAAGAUAAGGAGACAAGUGGACAUGUGAGUGCUAGGAGACAGUCCUUAGAAAGCGUGGAGUAGGCGCAUCAUUUGAUGCAUUUAUGUCAAGCUCAGAGUGCUGCCUGCAUAGUAUGCCCUUAGUUGGACAGCCUGUUGGCAGGCAGUUUGACAUGCAUUCAUACCAGGCUGGCCUUCCAAUUCUUUGGACAAACAUGCCCCCUUUUUGGGCAUGUUCACUCCUUUUGGCAGGUCUGGUCACAUGAUUCGCGCCAGUGGCGCACUCUUUUACCCUGCACAUUGACUUCCUGCUUCACUGGACACUGCUGUUAUGGGAUAUGGAUUUACUUGAAAGAUGAAAGCAUAAAUUUGAGCGAUUAGCAUUGAGUAUGUGUUUUCGUAUAGCUUAACACCAUCUCCAUCAGAUACAUGAUGCUUUGGAGGUAUGAAUGUUUUAAUCUUUUUGGUCGAUAAGAUUCUGUAAAUAGGUCCAUCAUAAUUGUCAGCACCAGGCCCAGUGGGCUCUUAAUCUGGCCCUGCAUCCACCAACGUCACAUUGCACCAAAGAUUGUCCAGGAGUUGGCAUAUGCUGAGAAGAUCCCUCAGGAGACCAUCCACCACCUCAUCAGGAGCAUGCACAGGCGUUGUAGGGAGGUCAUACAGGCACAUGGAGGCCACACACACUACUGAGCCUCCUUUUGACUUGUUUUAAGGACCUUACAUCAAAGUUGGAUCAGCAUGUAGUGUGUUUUUCCACUUUAAUUUUGAGUGUGACUCCAAAUCCAGACCUCCAUGGGGUGAACAAUUUGAUUUCCAUUUUUUUAUUUUUGUGUGAUUUUGUUGUCAGCACAUUCAAGUAUUUCAGAAGAAUAUUUAAUUCAUUCAGAUCUAGGAUGUGUUAUUUUUGUGUUCCCUUUAUUUUUUUGAGCAGUGUAUAUCUAUAUAUCUAUCUAUCUAUCUAUCUAUAUAUAUAUAUAUAUAUAUAUAUAUAUAUAAUAGAGAAAGUAGGCUUUAUUGUCACGAAUGUCAACAUUUCAGUUCCUAGUUUGGAAAUUUCCUCAGGACAUGAUCAUACAAAUGACUGACUUCUAUACAAAACAAACAAGUAAGUUAAUUACUCACCACCCCCAGCUGCUCGUCAAGUAGGUUGGUCUGGCUGCUCCGGAGUUCGGGUGCAUAUUAAGAUCACCUGAGUGAUUCCCCACAUGUCAUAGGCAUGGUCUGUCCCCACACGAAGUAUAUCCGGUGUCAAUGCGUUGCUCGGGCAGCCGCCGAUAGCGUUCGGCUAUUGGUCGCCCAUAGGACCGCUGACGGCAUGUGGAGUACUUCUAACACGUGAGUCAGGACGCGUCUCUCUAGCAACCGGAGUAUGCCAAUCCCACUGUACGAAGCAGCACUUCAUGUCUACUUACUCUUAAGAAUCUUGAAGUGAAGGUGCAGAAAUAUUUUUCCAUAAGUCAGAAUCCACUGAGUGUAUCGGCUCGGUUCGAUACGGUUUGCUAUUUUGGGUGUUUCCAUUAUGAAAUUGGUCCAUAUAAGCGAACCGUACCGGUCCUGCUUCAGAUGUAGGGCCAUAGGAAAUGGAACGGUUUGGUUAGGGCGGAGCUACUAUACAAUCCAUUGAUUGGUGGACAGGAAGAGUAUUUUUUCUAAACCCUGCAUGGCCCCUGAAGGUCUGGCUUGCAGUGGAAACGCUCACCAGAAUGGGCUGGACCAUUCUAAACCUUCCAAACUGUACCGACCCGAACCGGUCCUCUCAGUGGAAACGAGGCAUAAGAGUACAUGAUUAUAAUAACAAUCCCAGAAUGUUUAAUCCAAAUAUAAAGUUGGCUGCACUCCGGUCUUUAUAAUUCCAAUAUUUAUUAAGUAAACAAAAAUAAAAAUUAUCAACGUUUCAGUCUCUCCUGGGACUUUCUUCAGGAUCAAAACAUACAAUGCUUACACAUACAAAACUGCUGAAAUAUUUACCCCUGUACUAAUGAAUUGACUUACCCCAACUGUCCUGCAUUGCUCCCAGCAUCUCCCCCAGUGUACCACGCAUGUGUGGGCAUGCUAUACCACGUAUGCCGCUCGGGAACCAUGGCAACAUAUAAACUAUGUUCAGCAUUGAGAAAAAACAAGAGUUUAUAGGCACUCUCUAUAAUACAAAAAAUAAGUGAGGACUGAUGUAUACAGUACAAGGAUUCUCAAAACCUUGUGUAAUAGUAAGACAAAAAUAGAAUAUGGUGUAUACUGUGUCCAAAAUCAUAAGUACAUAUGACUGCAUUUUGAUUUUGUUGUCAGCACAUCAACUAUGUAAAGAACAAAGUAUUUCAGAAGAAUAUUUAAUUCAUUCAGAUCUAGGAUGUGUAAUUUUUGGGUUCCCUUAAUUUUUUUGAGCAGUGUAUUACUGUAAGCCACUACACCUACCAUGAUUUUCAGAUUUUUUAUUUUUUUAUUUGACCAAUAUCAAAGCUAUUUAAUACAGUGACAAUAAACCAAUAUUGAUCACCAUGGAUGUACGCAGUUUGUACACUGUCAUCCCUCAUGAAGAAGGGAUUCAAGCUUUGCAUGAAGUCCUAGUACAAUCUGAACCUAUGGGGGUCCUCCAAUUGAAUACUGUCACGUAUUCAUCUGCACAUAAAAAUUUUAUUAAUGACAUUUACUGUUCUGACAGGAAAAGUUUGUGCUGAGCAGCAAUCAUGCAAAUAGGAACCUGAUAACUGCCUUUUGGGGUCAAAGGCCGGUUACAACCAAUCAGAUCCACAGGUGGGGUAUUUAGGCUCAGUUCUCCUCUUGCUGUGCCCUGUUGUGGUUUCCCUUGUGGUUGUCCGAGAGCACGUUAUUGAUUCUGGUUAUUCUGGUAUUUUGACUUUGACAUUGAUUUUGACUUCCCUGAUUUCUGGCAUCCCUGACCCCUGGCUUUUCCUUAUCACUGUNNNNNNNNNNNNNNNNNNNNNNNNNNNNNNNNNNNNNNNNNNNNNNNNNNNNNNNNNNNNNNNNNNNNNNNNNNNNNNNNNNNNNNNNNNNNNNNNNNNNGUCUCUUUCUGUGUCCCUUGACCGGCUAUUCCUGACUAUUCUUUGGUAUGUUAGUCCGGCCAUUCUAAGGUCUGGUAUACAUUACCUAUCAGUUCUCUGUGUUACACAAUUCUACGUGCUGGAUCAUGCUGUAAUCCUGACAUUAUGACGUGGCCAUAGAUCCUGAAGAUAUGUGUAAGCACAUAGCUGCUUGCGAAAGGAAACUGGAGGAAAAUGAUCACCUCAUGGAUCAAUUUGCCCAGGCCUUCAGUACGCCUCUUACUCGAAAAGCGCAUCUGCAACCUGAGGCCUCUACUCCACCUAUAGUACACAAGGCACCUACUAUCUCCCUAUCUCCCUAAGCUAUACCUUUUAACUGAUUCAUCAGGUAACCAAUUUUAGCUCUGUCUGUGGGAAAAAAUACGGCUGAGGCCUCAAAAUGGUACUCCAGUUGGUUAAGGAAUCCCCUGCAUUCUUGGAUACCAUCAAAAUGCAGGGGAUUCCUUAACCAAAUGGAGUAUCAUUUUGAGGCCUCAGACAGAGCUAUAAUUGGUUACCUGAUGAAUCAGUUAAAAGGUAAAGCUUUAGCUUGGCCCAAUCCAUUAUGGGAGAGUAAUAGGAGUGUGGCACACAAUUACCAGGAGUUUCUUACGGAAUUUAAACUUACGUUUGAACCAUUAUGGUAGGGAGGACGACGCCUCCACUGCCCUGAUGCACAUCCGACAAGGGAAUACAUCAGACAUUCGUCCGAAGAAACUACCGCACUUAAGCGCCUUAAGGAGACAGGUCUUAGGUAUAAUGGAGAUGUCCUCUGAAAAGACUGAAUAUAGACUUCUCAUUGAUAUUUCGAUUAUUCUUACUGAAAAUAACUUUUCAUGCAAAGCCCUGAUGGACUCAAGGGCUGCUGGAAAUGUAAUUGAUGUCCAAUUUGUCAAGGAUAAUACUAUAUCUAUCAGGAGAGACUAUCACCCCUAGCCGUUGAAGCUAUUGAUGGGAGACCACUCUCACAACCAUUGAUAACACAUAAAAACUUAACCAUUAAUAUUUCCAUUGGUGCCUUACAUAAGGAAUAGAUUACAUGUCAGAUGAUUGCAUCUCCUUCUUGUCCCAUUAUAUUAGGAUUUCCAUGGCUUAGCAAGCAUAACCCUCACAUUUACUGGGCUAAUGGGGAAAUAUUAGAAUGGGGUAAGGAGUGUAAUGAAAGGUGUAUAUUGUAUGUCACCAAAAGAGUGGGCACUAUCGAAUUACCCACUAGUACACCUCAAAAUCCUGAGAUUCCUAUACAAUACUGUGACAUUAAAGAAGUAUUCAGCAAGACUCAGUCUAAUACUCUACCUCCUCAUAGACCAUAUGACUGUUCUAUUAACUUGCUACCCGGCGCCAUGCCACGUAAGGGAGCAUUCUAUGCUCUAUCUCCUCAGGAGAGUAGUAUAAUGGAGGAAUAUAUACUGCUCAAAAAAAUAAAGGCAACACAAAAAUGACACAUCCUAGAUCUGAAUGAAUUAAAUAUUAUUCUGAAAUACUUUGUUCUUUACAUAGUUGAAUGUGCUGACAACAAAAUCACACAACAAUUUGAAAAUGAAAAUCAAAUUUUUCAACCCAUGGAGGUCUGGAUUUGGAGUCACACUCAAAAUUAAAGUGGAAAAACACACUACAUGCUGAUCCAACUUUGAUGUAAUGUCCUUAAAACAAGUCAAAAUGAGGCUCAGUAGUGUGUGUGGCCUCCACGUGCCUGUAUGACCUCCCUACAACGCAUGUGCAUGCUCCUGAUGAGAUGGCGGAUGGUCUCCUGAGGGAUCUCCUCCCAGACCUGGACUAAAGCAUCUGCCAGCUCCUGACAGUCUAUGGUGCAAUGUGACGUUGGUGUGAGUGAGACAUGAUGUCCCAGAUGUGCUCAAUUGGAUUCAGGUCUGGGGAACGGGCUGGCCAGUCCAUAGAAAAAUGCCUAGUCUUGCAGGAACUGCUGACACACUCCAGUCACAUGAGGUCUAGCAUUGUCUUGCAUUAGUAAGAACCCAGGGCCAACUGCACCAGCACCACAAGGGGUAUGAGGAUCUCAUCUCUGUACCUAAUAGCACUCAGGCUACCUCUGGCGGACGCAUGGAGGGCUGUGCGUCCCCCCAAAGAAGUGCUGCCCCACACCAUUACUGACCCACUGCCAAACCAGUCAUGCUGGAGGAUGUUGCAGGCAGCAGAACAUUCUCCACGGCGUCUCCAGACUCUGUGAUGUCUGUCACAUGUGCUCAGUGUGAACCUGCUUUCAUCUGUGAAGAGCACAGGGCGCCAGUGGCGAAUUUGCCAAUCUUGGUGUUCUCUGGCAAAUGCCAAACGUCCUGCACGGUGUUGGGCUGUAAGCACAUCCCCCACCUGUGGACGUCAGGCCCUCAUACCACCCUCAUGGAGUCUGUUUCUGACCGUUUGAGCAGACACAUGCACAUUUGUGGCCUGCUGGAGGUCAUUUUGCAGGGCUCUGGCAGUGCUCCUCCUGCUGCUGGGUUGUUGCCCUCCUACUGCCUCCUCCACAUCUCCUGAUGUAAUGGCCUGUCUCCUGGUACCACCUCCAUGCUCUGGACACUUCGUUGACAGACACAGCAAACCUUCUUGCCACAGCUUGCAUUGAUGUGCCAUCCUGGAUGAGUUUCACUCCCUGAGCCACUUGUGUGGGUUGUAGACUCCGUCUCAUGCUACCACUAGAGUGAAAGCACCACCAGCAUUCAAAAGUGACCAAAACAUCAGCUAGGAACUGAGAAGUGGUCUGUGAUCACCACCUGCAGAACCACUCCUUUAUCGGGGUGUGUCUUACUAAUUGCCUGUAAUUUCCACCUGUUGUCUAUCCCAUUUGCACAACAGCAUNNNNNNNNNNNNNNNNNNNNNNNNNNNNNNNNNNNNNNNNNNNNNNNNNNNNNNNNNNNNNNNNNNNNNNNNNNNNNNNNNNNNNNNNNNNNNNNNNNNNGUGAAAUUGAUUGUCACUCAGUGUUGCUUCCUAAGUGGACAGAUUGAUUUCACAGAAGUGUGAUUGACAUGGAGUUACAUUGUGUUGUUUAAGUGUUCCCUUUAUUUUAUUGAGCAGUGUAUUAAGGAUCCAUUAAAUAAAGGCCACAUACGAAAAUCAUCCUCGCCUCCUGGUGCAGGAUUUUUUUUUUAAUCGAAAAGGAUGGUGAGUUGUGCCCCGUAUCGAUUACAGAGCAUUGAACAAAAUCACUGUGACAGUAGUGAUUUGUAUUACCGUCUAGAAUUCCCUUUUUCCCAAUAGCAGAAUAGCAACAAUAAUCCACAGGGUAAAAUAACGCUGGUAUCGCCAAAUAAUCCACACAUGAGCCAAAGCUUAAUGCUGGAACAAGUCUGAUUUACUGGAAGCAACAGGCAUUCAAUUUAUACAGUAACAGACUCAUCUUCUGGGCCAGGCUAGCUAAUUAUGUUUCAGCAACAUACUAAACUCAAUUAUCUGCUGGCCAGAAACAUUAACAAUUUUCCAGAUUUUUAGAAAUAUACUUUAUACAUGUCAUAGGAAUACAAAAACCGCAUCCCUAGGUAGCUGAGGAUACUGGGAGUAACAUUUCCAAAUUGCACGAAAAUCGGGUAGUUUUCGUGUUGCAUCGUGUGGAAGUUUGACCGGCUCGCCAUGUGGUUGUAUCCGAGUUAGAAUUCCAUGAAAUUGGUAGCAAGAGCUGGUCUCCGUUCGUGCAGAAUUACACGAAAACCACCACAGUUAAACGGUAUCUGGUUACAGGUGAAUUCUCCCCUCAUUCGGUUGAUUGAAACUCCCAAAUGCCAGUCUGAUACUGUGAGUGGAAAUAGGUUAGACAGACUUCCAUGGAGAACGGGUGCUCGUGUGAUUGCCAUGCCGAAAAUGGUUUCAUGCAAUCCACGAGUAAGUCCCGCUGGCCGCAUUCAGGAGAUUUAAGAUGGCCGCCAUCCUUUGUUCUCGCCACGUGUUCAUAUGCCGAAUGGCGGCCACCUAGAAGCACUCAAUUACCUUUCGGUUUUCGUGGUUACUUGGUGUCCUAAGUUCUGAUUGCUACCCAGGGUGGUCUCCGUUCAGUAGAAUGAAUAAAUGUCCCGAACACAGAAAUACAAACAAAUACUUUAAAGUCACUUAACUAGCAGGGAGAGGAAAUAACCGAAUGGGUACAGGUAAAUACAGGGAAAAUAGCAAAAGUGGAGGAUUGAUCGCCUCGUAGGAAGAUCGGGCUGAUCACCUCCAGGCCACCUCAAAAGCGACGUCUCAAAAAUAAUAAACAAAUUUAUUGAAAAACCUUGUUAAAAUCAAAAAGGGAAACACAUCUAUUUCUAGAUAAAAUAAAUAACUAGAGCCCAAUAUAUACGGAAAGUAUGACUGAUGUAUAAAUAUGUAUAUAUACUGUGGUAUAGUAGAUACCUAUAGAUAACGUAUAGUACAUAUAUAGAUACAAAAAAAAAACCGUAAGUUAUAUAUUGCAAGCCCAAUACAGAAUGUAAAAUAUGGCUAAAUUAUAGAUGCAGUACUAUAAAAAGUACCUGUGCAAAGGAGUGAAAGGUAACGGUAGUAAUGCAUAUAUAAAGAGCCAUAAAUUCUGCACUAAAUAACUAAUUGCUGCAGAGUGUGGCUAAAUAAACCAUAUCGAAAUAUGGAAAAAAAUAGUAUAAUGUAACAAUAAAUCACAGUAUAAAGCCACAGUAGUAGCCAAAAAAACUCUGCUGCUGAACCUACAGGGUUAAGUUUAAAUGGAAAUCGAAAGGAUAGAGAAGGGCAUAAAUAGAAGAAGAAAAAUAAAGCAGAGAGACCUAAUAGUAUAUCUAAAUACAAGAAACUAGGUCUAAAUGCCUAAAUAUAAUAGACAGCCCACCUAUCACUGAGUAGAAUGACCAGAGCAACAAAAACGCUCAGUGUCACUAAACCAUACUGUAGGGAACAAAGAAACAAAAUAAAAUAAACUCGAUCAGCUACAUAAAAUAGCCCAUAGCCCAAAAUAAACUCGAUCAGCUACAUAAAAUAGCCCAUAGCCCAACGCGCGUUUCGGUGGAUAAACCACCUUUCUCAAGGGCACAAAGUGAAGUGAAGCAAACGGAGCAAACCCCCCUUACUCCAUUAUAAACGUUUGGAAAUACCUCCCAAUUCAUCUGAUUCGUCCAUGUAUCUCAGGGGAGGAGGGACGAAGAAAAGCCACUCGUAUAGCAAAUCCGUGCGCAUCUGUCUACGCGCAGGCGCGCCGACUUAGUGUCAGGCUAGAUAUCAACUAGGACUGCGCAUGUCAAAAGACCACAUGCGCACAGCAAUAAACCCGUUGCCAGGGUAUCAAUCAGUGCGCAUGCGUGAAUAUGCACAUAGUGAACACAGCGUACACGGUGUAAUACAUAUGCCGAUAAGAUAACAAGUCAGAAAAGGACAAGGUGCUACAUUAAUUAAACAUAGUGGCUUUGAAAAUAGGGAGUAAAGGAGGGGUAGAAAGUACAUAACUAUAUGGAUAGAUAUUCAAACAGAGAAGAAAAGAAAUGAAAUGGGUGGUCUCCGUUCAGUAGAAUGAAUAAAUGUCCCGAACACAGAAAUACAAACAAAUACUUUAAAGUCACUUAACUAGCAGGGAGAGGAAAUAACCGAAUGGGUACAGGUAAAUACAGGGAAAACCUUUACAGUCACCAUCAAGAACGCCUACCACAUUCCUCUUAUUGCUGAAUUAUUUGACAGACUCCAGGGUGCUAAAGUGUUUACUAAGCUUGACCUUAGAAGUGCGUACAAUUUAGUGAGAAUCAAGGAAAACCACGAGUGGAAGACUGCAUUUAAUACCAGAAGUGGACACUAUGAAUAUCUAGUGAUGCCAUUCGGGUUGUGAAACGCUCUAGCGGUUUUCCAAGAUUUCAUUAAUAAUGUACUCAGGGAUUACAUGUACUUGUUUGUCUUGGUAUAUCUGGAUGAUAUCCUUAUUUAUUCUCCUGACCUCCUGACCUCCAGUCUCACCACGAUCACAUUAAACAAGUUCUGCAAACUUUGUUAAAAAAAACAACUUUAUUGUAAAUUGGAAAAAUGUAUCUUUGACCACAAGUACAGUUUUUAGGAUAUAAUAUUUCUGCCUCGGGGUUUCAGAUGGAUCCCAAUAAGCUAAAGUCUGUUCUACAGUGGCCUUUACCCACUGGGUUGAAAGCCAUUCAAAUGUUUAUUGGUUUCGCCAAUUAUUACAGAAGAUAUAUAAAUCGAUUUUUUUCAGUAAUAGCCCCCAUCACCAAUAUGACCCGCAAGGGGGUUAGUAGUACGAAAUGGUCUAAGGAGGCUAUUGAAGCCUUUGAAACUCUCAAACAGCGGUUUGCCUCCUCCGACAUAUUGAUACAUCCUGACACCAGUAAGCCUUUCAUACUUGAGGUUGAUGCUUCAGAGACAGAAGUAGGGGCAGUUCUCUUCCAAAGGGAGAGCCAGGAAACUCUGCUACACUCUUGUGGUUACUUUUCUAGAAAGUUGUUUCCUGCUGAGCGCAAUUAUGAUAUUGGCAAUAGAGAAUUGUUGGCCAUUAUCCUAGCUCUCAAGGAGUGUCGACAUGUUUGAGAGGAUUGCAAGGACCCCCUUUUGAUCAUUACUGAUCACAAAAUCCUGGCUUACAUAGGAGAUGCCAAGCGAUUAUCUCCUAGACAAGCGAGGUGGUCUCUAUUUCUUUCUCGCUUUAAUUUUCAUCACUUAUAGACCUGAUUCUAAAAAUGUCAUGGCCGACACCUUGUCCAGGCAGUUUGAUACUGAGGCUAUAUUAGAGCAAUAACCAUCCCAUAUCAUUGUCCUCUCCACUGCUUGCCUCCAUCAUGGAGGAUCAGUCUCAGACAAAUUGUUUGUUCCAUUGGGGGAAAGGGUUAAUAUCAUGAAAGUGUUUCACGACAAUGUGUUUGCUGGUCACCCAGGUACUAAUAAAUCCACUUCUGCUAUCAUAAAGUCUUUCUGGUGGGAUUUUCUCAGGAAGGAUGUUAAGGAGUAUGUGCAGGCUUGUUCUGUUUGUACGGUUUACAAUUUAAAAAGGGACUAUCUGACACUAUGCUAGAUGAGAUUGCUGCCGAAGAUCUACCCAAGAAUAGUGAUGUCGCGAACACGAAAUUUUCGGUUCACGAACGGCGAACACGAACUUCCGCAAAUGUUCGCGAACCGGCGAACCGGGCGAACCGCCAUAGACUUCAAUGGGCAGGCGAAUUUUAAAACACACAGGGACUCUUUCUGGCCACAAUAGGGAUGGAAAAGUUGUUUCAAGGGGACUAACACCUGGACUGUGGCAUGCCGGAGGGGGAUCCAUGGCAAAACUCCCAUGGAAAAUUACACAGUUGAUACAGAGUCUUAAUCCAUAAAGGGCAGAAAUCACCUAACAUUCCUAAAUCACAAUGAAUGUGGAUUGACACCUGACAUAUGACAUAUUGACACCUUGACAUAUGGAUUGACAACUGUCCUCAGAGCCUCUGAUGCACACUGACACAGAGCAGAAUAGGGACUGUUCCCCCUACAUAGGGACACUUGGCAGAUAUGGAUUGACACCUGUCCUCAGAGACCAUGAUACACACUGACACAGAGCAGAAUAGAGAAUGUUCCCCCUACAUAGGGUCACUUUGCAGAUAUGGAUUGACACCUGUCAUCAAAGCCCCCGAUACACACUGACACAGAGAAGAAUGGAGACUAUUCCCCCUACAUAGGGUCACUUUGCAGAUAUGGAUUGACACCUGUCCUCAAAGCCCCUGAUACACACUGACACAGAGCAGAAUAGAGACUGUUCCCCCUACAUAGGGUCACUUGGCAGAUAUGGAUUGACACCUGUCCUCAGAGACCAUGAUACACACUGACAGAGAGCAGAAUAGAGACUGUUCCCCCUACAUCGGGUCACUUGGCAGAUAUGGAUUCAAACCUGUCCUAGGAUCCCUGAUACACACUGACACAGAGCAGAAUAGAGACUGUUCCCCCUACAUAGGAUCACUUGGCAGAUAUGGAUUGACACCUGUCCUCAGAGACCAUGAUACACACUGACACAGAGCAGAAUAGAGACUGUUCCCCCUACAUAGGGUCACUUGGCAGAUAUGGAUUGACACCUGUCCUAAGGAUCCCUGAUAAACACUGACACAGAGCAGAAUAGGGACUGUUCCUCCUACAUAGGGUCACUUGGCAGAUAUGGAUUGACACCUGUCCUCAGAGACCAUGAUACACACUGACACAGAGCAGAAUAGAGACUGUUCCCCCUACAUAGGGUCACUUGGCAGAUAUGGAUUGACACCUGUCUCAAAGCCCCUGAUACACACUGACACAGAGCAGAAUAGAGACUGUUCCCCCUACAUCGGGUCACUUGGCAGAUAUGGAUGUGUCCUAGGGAUCCCUGAUACACACUGACACAGAGCAGAAUAGAGACUGUUCCCCCUACAUCGGGUCACUUGGCAGAUAUGGAUGUGUCCUAGGGAUCCCUGAUACACACUGACACAGAGCAGAAUAGAGACUGUUCCCCCUACAUAGGGUCACUUGGCAGAUAUGGAUUGACACCUGUCCUAAGUAUCCCUGAUACACACUGACACAAAGCAGAAUAGGGACUGUUCCUCCUACAUAGGGUCACUUGGCAGAUAUGGAUUGACACCUGUCCCCAGAGACCAUGAUACACACUGACACAGAGCAGAAUGGAGACUGUUCCCCCUACAUAGGGUCACUUUGCAGAUAUGGAUUGACACCUGUCCUCAGAGACCAUGAUACACACUGACACAGAGCAGAAUAGAGACUGUUCCCCCUACAUCGAGUCACUUGGCAGAUAUGGAUUGACACCUGUCCUAGGGAUCCCUGAUACACACUGACACAGAGCAGAAUAGAGACUGUUCCUGUGACGAGACCAAUCUCGCCACAUUGCAUUGGAGAAGCCUGGUUGCUCGCCUGCUGCCUUUGGACUAUGGCCCCCUUUUAAAAGACUUUAUUUUUGCCUGCAGAAAAGCUGUAUUCAUGCUUUUCUGCCUGGGGUUCAGUAGAUUUGUUUGAAUGUGUUAUACCCCAGAUAGGAAUCCCAUGGAGCCCAUUCGUAUGAAACUGACUGUAAAGACUUUGGCUCCAUGGCGAUUGAACUGUAUUCGUGUAGUCUGAGUGCCAUUCACCUAAUAAUGUGCACUCAGACCUGAGCUAUCUGAGGAUAUGUUACAUGUNNNNNNNNNNNNNNNNNNNNNNNNNNNNNNNNNNNNNNNNNNNNNNNNNNNNNNNNNNNNNNNNNNNNNNNNNNNNNNNNNNNNNNNNNNNNNNNNNNNNAGGUGUCAAUCCAUAUCUGCCAAGUGACCCUAUGUAGGGGGACCAGUCCCUAUUCUGCUCUGUGUCCGUGUGCAUCAGGGGCUCUGAGGACAAGUGUCAAUCCAUAUGUCAAGGUGUCAAUAUAUCAUAUGUCAGGUGUCAAUCCAUAUUCAUUGUGAUUUAGGAAUGUUAGGUGAUUUCUGCCCUUUAUGGAUUAAAACCAGACUCUGUAUCAACUGUGUAAUUUUCCAUGGGAGUUUUGCCAUGGAUCCCCCUCCGGCAUGCCACAGUCCAGGUGUUAGUCCAGGUGUUAGUCCUUGAAACAACUUUUCCAUCCCUAUUGUGGCCAGAAAGAGUCCCUGUGUGUUUUAAAAUUCGCCUCCCCAUUGAAGUCAAUGGCGUUUCGGGCGGUUCGCCGGUUCGCGAACAUUUGCGGAAGUUCGCGUUCGUCGUUCGCGAACGGAAAAUUUCGGGUUCGCGACAUCACUAAUGCAGAGUGUGUUUGUGUAUGUGAUGCAGAGCCUUGGUGGGGGGUGGGCAUUUUUAUUAUUAUUUUUUUAAUUAUUAUUAUUUUAAUAUUAUUAUUAUUUUGUUAUAUUAUUAAUAUUUUAUUUUUAUAUUAUUAUUUUCUUAAUAUUAUUAUUAUUAUAUUUUUAUUUUAUUAUUAUUUAAAUUUGUAUUUUUUUUUUUUGUCCCCCCUCCCUGCUUGUUAGCUGGCCAGGGACGGGGGCUCUCAUUCUCUGGUGGUCCAGUGGUGUGCACUGUGUAGGAGGGGGCUGGCAGGAAGCGUUUACUUACCUUUCCUGAAACUCCUGUCAGCUCCCUUCUCUCUCCUCUGGUCCGGUAAGCUCCCCUGUCAGCUCCCCUGUCAGCUCCCUUUGAAGUCUUGCGGUCUGAGUGCCGCGUGGAGCAUUGCCAUGGUAACCCGUGGCAACGCUCUGACCCUGAGGCUCUCGCGAGAUUUACAGUGGAGCUGACAGGAGCUGCAGGAAAGGUAAGUUACAGCUCUCUGCCAGCCCCCAACAGGACCGCCGGGCUUGUAAUGAGCCCGGCGGUCCUUGUCUGUAUUAUGGCAAUGUAAGUUGCCAUAAUACAGACAUUGACUCGAGUAUAAGUCGACUUUUACUCGAGUAUAUACGGUAGCUUUACAAGAUAAUUCCCUUAAUAAAGCAUACGAAUCCCAAAACAUCAGCCGAAGUCAAGAAGAAGGAUACAACAGAACUGCCUUUUAAUGACCACACACAGGCUGUUAUGCAAGUCCCCAUGAAAGGGGACAUCCCACAGGGAGGGACACAGUAUAACCAAUCGGUUACAGGAAAACAGGAAAACACACCCAGCACAAACAUACAAUUCCCUCCUCUAGUCCUGGAUAUAAUCAAGUCUGAUAAAGUAAUAACUUGAUUAUCUCCAGGCAGAAAAAUCACAAUUUUCCCCAAUAUUCAGAACACCCUUUAGACAUGGGGUAUCCCCACAAAUAAUAUGUCCUCUGAUAGUCCCGGUCUGGGUCUGACCCACAUAUUCAAAUUUCACCCAGAUCGGUUCAGGGGUUCUCAAAAAGUGUGGAAGUUCUUUGUGACUGGCUAACCGCGAGUCGGCUGACCAAAAUAGUUCCAGGAGUUUGGGUGGUUUUGCCGGUCUAUUCAGUUAAGUGGUAAAAACCAAAUGAUUCCACGAAUGGAUUCCCCUGGCUUUUAGCAGCGAUUGUUCCCCUCAUUUGAAUGCACAAAAAUACCGAGUAGCGCUCUUCUAGCUAUUCAGGAAAUAGAGAUCCAGCGUUCGCUUGUUGAGACUGGUGUUCGGGAAGUCGAGUGUCCGAUUUUAGUUCCAGACAGUCGACGACCAAGUCCCGCUGCCAUUGUUCGCCGGAAAAAAGAUGGCCGCCGUUUUCUCAGCCACGUGGAAUUUGGUAGUACAAAUGCUGGCUGCACAGAUAGAGGGUACAAUUGAAGCAUUCUUUGAAGUUUAACGAGCCAGGGGGUGGUCUCUGUUCGGUAGUUAUAUCUACCGAAUGAAUAUGGAAGAAAUAGUACACAUAAAGAGGGAUUUCUUCACAAACACCAUAAGCCUAAUCCAUUCGACAAGCCCCAUAUACUGCACCAUAGCAGGGAAAAAGGCAUGAACAGUGUUUUUAGCCCAAAGUUCACCACAGGGCCAUAGUCACAGGGCAGGAGGCUGGCAAACAGGCCCCUCCAAAAACCAGUGGCGUGGUCAUUUUCGCCACACUCCACCUAAUGCUGAUUGGCACGAUUUGGUUCAUGCCAUUUUGGCUGAUUGGUUGUUGCUUGGUUUAGGCGCAAAAUUUAAAUUCACCGGACUAAACCAAGCAACACCAUGGAACUAAUUUUGGGGAUGUACAGAGCCUUGAGACCCAGACCUUCGAUGCUGAUAUCUCCGGCUCUGUACAUCCGAUCGCCCCGCUUUUUGCAGGGGUCCUAAGGGGGACCCGGGGCCAAUGGUGUAUCCUGGUUUUGUGAUGCCCUAGGCAGGACAAAACUCAGGUGCCCCCCUCCCCCCGCGCCACCCCCACCCAACCCUUCCCCCACGCCCCACCUUCUAAAUACACACACACACAGUCAGACACACACACACAGUCAGACACAAACACACACACAGUCAGACACAUACACAGACACACACAGUCAGACACAUACACAGACACAAACACAGUCAGACACAAACACACACACACAGUCAGACAAAUACACAGACACAAACAUAGUCAGACACAAACACACACACACACAGUCACAAACACACACAGUCAGACACAAACACACAGUCAGACAAAAACACACACACACAGUCAGACACAAACACACACACACACACAGUCAGACACAAACACACACACACACAGUCAGACACAAACAGACACAGACACAAACACACACACACAAAGACACAAACACACACAAACAGUCAGACACAAACACACACACACAGUCAGACACAAACACACACACACACAGUCUGACACAAACACACCGACACACAAUCAGACACACACACAAUCACUCACAUUAACUUUUUUUUUUAAUUUAACCCCCCUUUGGAACUUUGGAAUUUUCCCACGCUGUGUGAAAUGACACAGAGCACUGUGAUUGGAUGGAUUUCAAGCCAUCCAAUCACAGUGCUCUGUGUCAUUUUACACAGCGUGGGAAAGUUCUUUUGAAUUUUCCCACGCUGUGUAAAAUGACAAAGAGCACUCUGAUUGGCUUAAACCCACCAAUCAGAGUGUUCUUAGCCUAAUUGCAGGGCGGAGCUCAGUCUGCGCGGAGCCCUCCAUGGGUGAAUAUGGAUUUUUUUUUGCGCUCGGGUUUUUUCUUUUUCGUCAGGUUUUUUUUUUUUUUAGUUCGACGGUUAUGAUGGUUUUUUAUUUGGCCUUUUUUGGGGCUGAAAAAUGAAGAUUUGAGAAAAAAGAAGACGUUGAAUGGUAAGUUUAAUUUUAUUUUACAGGUUAGUUAUUUUAUUCCCCCCUCACUAUUUUUUAGGGUGUGGGGGGUAGGUAGGGAAUUUUUAUUUGGGGGGGGUGGGUGACUAGGGGCUUGAGGACCCCUAGUCACCUGGGGGGGGGAGGACAGUAGGUCCCCCCCCCAUUAUCUUUAUGGCCCCCACCCACCACCCAGGGGUGGGGGCCGGAAGGGGGGUGGACAGUAGGUCCCCAUUAUCAACUUAUGGCCCCCAUCCGCCCGGCGCAGGGGUGCGGGGGCGAGAAGAGGUAAUAGGUCCCCCACCCUUAUUGAUGGGGCCCCACCCACGCUCAGGGGUGGGGCUGAGAGACAAUAGGUCCCCUUGUGUCAUUUUAUAGCAAGCCCCCACCCACGCUCAGAGGGGUGGGGGCGAGAAACAAUAGGUCUCAAAGCGGGUGUGUCCAGGCUCACCCAGUGGAUGCACUGUGCCCAGUGCCACCACUCACUCACCUGGUGUCACAAUAGCUUGCAUUUAAAAACAAAAAACUUUUUCACUGUUAUAGAUUGAAUAGCAGUUAGUUUUCUACUCAAAGCGGGUGUGUCAGGCUCACGGAUACUGUGCCCAGUGCCACCAUAAAACUCACUGAAUCACAAUAGCUUGCAUUUUAAAACAAAAAAACGUUUUUCACUGUUAUAGAUUGAAUAGCAGUUAGUUUUCUCAAAGCGGGUGUGUCAGGCUCACAGUGGAUACUGUGCCCAGUGCCACCACUCACUCACUGGUGUCACAAUAGCUUGCAUUUAAAACCCAAAAACUUUUUCACUGUUAUAGAUUGAAUAGCAGUCAGUGUCCUUAAAGCGGGUGUGUCAGGCUCACAGUGGAUGCUGUGCCCAGUGCCACCACUCACUCACUGGUGUCACAAUAGCUUGCAUUUAAAACCCCAAAACUUUUUUCACUGUUAUAGAUUGAAUAGCAGUUAGUUGUCUCAAAGCGGGUGUGUCAGGCUCACAGUGGAUACUGUGCCCAGUGCUACCACUCACUCACUGGUGUCACAAUAGCUUGCAUUUAAAACCAAAAAACUUUUUUCACUGUUAUAGAUUGAAUAGCAGUUAGUUGUCUCAAAGCGGGUGUGUCAGCCCUACAGCGUGUACUCUGCCAACCUCUGCCAGUGCACAGUGCCACUCAUAUCUGGUGUCACAGUAGCUUGCACGCAUAGUACCACUAAUCCCAAAAAAAAUGACAGGCAGAGGCAGGCCACCCCGCAGGGGCCAUCGUGGUCGUGGUGCUGUGAUUCCCUUUUGCCCUAGAAUAAUGCCCAGUUUUCAGAGGCCAGGUACCCUGAACUUGAAAAGUUCUGAGGACAUAGUUGACUGGCUAACACAGGACACCCAAUCUUCUACAGCUUCCGCUCGGAACCUUGACGCAACAUUCUCCUCCAGCUUAGCUUCGGGCACCUCUCAAGAUACCACUCACCCGCCUGCCGCCACCACCAACACUAGCACCACAGCCGCUUCACUUGGUAUGUCAGAGGAGUUAUUUACACAUCCAUUUGAAGAAAUGAGUGAUGCGCAACCAUUAUUGACAGAGGAUGUAGAUAACAGGGAUAUGUCUCAAUCAGGCAGCAUUACACAUGUACGGUGUGAUGAUGAUGAUGAUGUUGUACCCGCUGCUGCUUCCUUUGCUGAGUUGUCAGAUACAAGUGAAGCGGUUGAUGAUGACGAUGCGUCCAUGGAUGUCACGUGGGUGCCCGCUCGUCAAGAAGAAGAACAGGGCGAAAGUUCAGAUGGGGAGACAGGGAGGAGGAGGAAACGAGUUGGAAGCAGGGGGAGGUCGUCGCAAGGAGCUAGUAGCACAGUCAGACAGCAUGCAUCGACACCCGGGGUCAGCCCGACAGCACGCCAAUCAACGCAUGCUGUGUCCACCACCAGAAUGCCGUCAUUGCAGAGCUCAGCAGUGUGGCAAUUUUUUUGUGUGUCUGCCUCUGACAACAGCGAUGCCAUUUGCAAUCUGUGCCAAAAGAAACUGAGUCGUGGGAAGUCCAACACCCACCUAGGUACAACUGCUUUGCGUAGGCACAUGAUCGCACAUCACAAAUGCCUAUGGGAUCAACACAUGAGUACAAGCAGCACACAAACUCAAAGCCGCCAUCCUCCUCCUGGUCCAGCAUCUUCAGCCACGUCAACCACUGCUGUCCUCCUUGCCCCUUCUCAACCAUCCGCCACUCCGUCUCUCGCCUUGAGCAGUUCCUGCUCAUCUGCCCACAGUCAGGUGUCUGUCAAGGACAUGUUUGAGAGUAAGAAGCCAAUGUCAGAAAGUCACCCCCUUGCCCGGCGUCUGACAGCUGGCUUGUCUGUACUAUUAGCCCGCCAGCUUUUACCAUACAAGCUGGUGGAGUCUGAGGCGUUCAAAACAUUUGUAGCUAUUGGAACACCGAAGUGGAAGGUACCCGGACGAAAUUUCUUUUCACAAAAGGCAAUCCCCAACCUGUACUCGAUUGUGCAAAAGGAAGUAAUGGCAUGUCUGGCACACAGUGUUGGGGCAAGGGUCCAUCUGACCACUGAUACCUGGUCUGCAAAGCAUGGUCAGGGCAGGUAUAUCACCUACACUGCGCAUUGGGCAAACCUGCUGACGGCUGCCAAGCAUGGAAUGCGUGGCUCUGCAGAGGAGUUGGUGACACCGCCACGACUUGCAGGCAGGCCUGCUGCCACCUCCUCUACUCCUCCUACUCCAUCCUCUUCCAUAACGUCCUCGGCUGAGUCCUCUUCUGCUGCUGCGUCUUGCUCCACAUCAACGGCACCCCCACAGCUCCCCAGGUACUAUUCCACAUCCCGGAUACGGCACUGUCACGCCGUCUUGGGUUUGACUUGCUUGAAAGCAGAGAGUCACACCGCACAAGCACUCCUGUCCGCCCUGAACGCACAGGUGUAAAAGUAGCUGACUUCACAGCAACUGGAGAUCGGCAAAGUGGUUUGUGACAAUGGAACAAAUUUGUUGGCGGCAUUGAAGUUGGGCAAGUUGACACAUGUGCCGUGCAUGGCACAUGUGUGUAAUCUGAUCUUACAACGCUUUGUGCAUAAGUACACAGGCUUACAGGACAUCCUGAAGCAGGCCAGGAAGGUGUGUGGCCAUUUCAGGCGUUCCUACACGGCCAUGGCUCACUUUGCCGAUAUCCAGCGGCGAAACAACAUGCCAGUGAGGCGCUUGAUUUGCGACAGCCCGACGCGUUGGAAUUCAACACUCCUAAUGUUCGACCGCCUGCUCCAACAAGAAAAAGCCGUUAAUGAAUAUUUGUAUGACCGGGGUGCUAGGACAGCCUCUGGGGAGCUGGGAAUUUUUUUGCCACGUUACUGGACGCUCAUGCGCAAUGCCUGUAGGCUCAUGCGUCCUUUUGAGGAGGUGACAAAUUUAGUCAGUCGCACCGAAGGCACCAUCAGCGACAUCAUACCAUUUAUUUUCUUCCUGGAGCGUGCCCUGCGAAGAGUGCUGGAUCAGGCUGUAGAUGAGCGUGAAGAGGAAGAGGAAGAGUUGUGGUCACCAUCACCACCAGAACCAGCCUUAUCAGCAUCGCUUGCUGGACCUGCGGCAACGCUGGAAGAGGAUUGUGAGGAAGAGGAGUCAGAGGAGGAAUGUGGCUUUGAGGAGGAGGAGGAAGACCAACCACAACAGGCAUCCCAGUGUGCUCAUUGUCACCUAUCUGGUACCCGUGGUGUUGUAUGUGGCUGGGGGGAAGAACAUACCUUCAUUGAGAUCACUGAGGAGGAGGAACGGGAAAUGAAUUGCUCGGCAUCCAACCUUGUGCAAAUGGGGUCUUUCAUGCUGUCGUGCCUGUUGAGGGACCCUCGUAUAAAAAGGCUGAAGGAGAACGACCUGUACUGGGUGUCCACGCUACUAGACCCCCGGUAUAAGCAGAAAGUGGCUGAAAUAUUACCAAAUUACAACAAGUCGGAAAGGAUGUAGCAUUUGCAAAAUAAUUUAAAAAGUAUGCUUUACACAGCGUAUAAGGGUGAUGUCACAGCACAACGGGAAUCUAACAGGGGAAGAGUUGAAAGUAAUCCUCCUCCUCCCACGACCAUGCCGGCAAGGACAGGACGCUUUACAGACAUGUUGUUGAUGGAGGACAUGCAGAGCUUUUUAAGUCCUACGAAUCGCCACAGCCCUUCGGGAUCCACCCUCAGAGAACGACUAGACCGACAGGUAGCAGACUACCUCGCCUUAACUGCAGAUAUCGACACUCUGAGAAGCGAUGAACCCCUUCACUACUGGGUGUGCAGGCUUGACCUGUGGCCUGAGCUAUCCCAAUUUGCAAUAGAACUUCUGGCCUGCCCCGCUUCAAGUGUCCUGUCAGAAAGGACCUUCAGUGCAGCAGGAGGUAUUGUCACUGAGAAGAGAAGUCGCCUAGGUCAAAAAAGUCUAGAUUACCUCACCUUUAUUAAGAUGAAUGGAUGGAUCCCGAUGGGACUGAUAGUGGGCGAUACAUCCGACUAAAAAAGGCCUGAUGAGAUGAGCUGCCUUGGGCUAAAAAUGGUCCACACGCUGCUGUAUUUUAGCUCUGAAUGCCGGUUGACUUGCGUGACUCAUCCGCCACCAACUAGGGUUCAAGCCGCAAUGUUUUACGGCAGUGCUCCCAAACCUUUUUAUAGCCGCGGACCGGUAAACGUUUGAUCCACGUACCGGUCCGCGGCCCGGGGGUUGGGGAACACUGUUUUAGGGCACUUUCUGCCUGGGAAACAAACAUCAAUUCUUCAACAAUACCUAAUUUAUCAGGCAUGUGUACAUGCCUAAUUUUUUGGGCCUCUGGUGCUGCACUGUGGUUUCAAAAACCAAACCAAAAAAAGGCACAUAACAGGGAUUAAACUGAUAAGAAUAAUACUACUUAACACACCUUAUAAUAAUGCAGAGAGAGGCAACGCAGAGAGAGGAGUCUGAAGAAGAGGAGUCAGAAGAGGAAGGUGGCUUUGAGGAGGUGGAAGACCAAACACAGCAGGCGUCCCAGGGGGCUUGUUGUCACCUUUCGGGGACCCUUGGUGUUGUACGUGGCUGGGUGGAGGAAGAGACCUUCAAUGACAUCAGUGAGGACAAGGAACGGGACAUGGCUAGCUUGGUAUCCAACCUUGUGCAAAUGGGGAGUUUGCAGUUGUGCAAAUGGACUGUUUGCGGUUGUUUGCGGUGUGUUAAACGGGGAGUUUGGUCUGUCACUGUGAAGCGGGCGUAACCCUUACACUACCUGAUCGAUACAACAUCAUACAGUAGGUCCCCCCCUCAUUAUUUUUAUGGCCCCCACCCACCGCUCACGGGUGGGGGCGGGCGGGAGGACAGUAGGUCCCCCCUUAUCCUUAUUUACUGAAUAUUCCCCUGUAUAACCAUGUUUGGCAUUUAGUGAAUAUUCCCUAUUCUGCUCUGUGUCAGUGUGUAUCAGGGCUCUGAGGACAGGUGUCAAUCCAUAUCUGCCAAGUGACCCUAUGUAGGAAGAACAGUCUCUAUUCUGCUCUGUGUCAGUGUGUAUCAGGGGCUCGGAGGACAGGUGUCAAUCCAUAUCUGCCAAGUGACCCUAUGUAGGGGAACAGUCUCUAUUCUGCUCUGUGUCAGUGUGUAUCAUGGUCUCUGAGGACAGGUGUCAAUCCAUAUCUGCCAAGUGACCCUAUGUAGGAGGAACAGUCUCUAUUCUGCUCUGUGUCAGUGUGUAUCAUGGUCUCUGAGGACAGGUGUCAAUCCAUAUCUGCCAAGUGACCCUAUGUAGGAGGAACAGUCUCUAUUCUGCUCUGUGUCAGUGUGUAUCAUGGUCUCUGAGGACAGGUGUCAAUCCAUAUCUGCCAAGUGACCCUAUGUAGGGGGAACAGUCUCUAUUCUGCUCUGUGUCAGUGUGUAUCAUGGUCUCUGAGGACAGGUGUCAAUCCAUAUCUGCCAAGUGACCCUAUGUAGGGGGAACAGUCUCUAUUCUGCUCUGUGUCAGUGUGUAUCAGGGGCUUUGAGGACAGGUGUCAAUCCAUAUCUGCCAAGUGACCCUAUGUAGGUGGAACAGUCUAUAUUCUGCUCUGUGUCAGUGUGUAUCAUGGUCUCUGAGGACAGGUGUCAAUCCAUACCUGCCAAGUGACCCUAUGUAGGGGGAACAGUCUCUAUUCUGCUCUUUGUCAGUGUGUAUCAGGGAUCCUUAGGAUAGGUGUCAAUCCAUAUCUGCCAAGUGACCCUAUGUAGGGGUAACAGUCCCUAUUCUGCUCUGUGUCCGUGUGCAUCAGGGGCUCUGACCAUAUGUCAAGGUGUCAAUAUGUCAUAUGUCAAUCCAUAUUCAUUGUGAUUUAGGAAUGUUAGGUGAUUUCUGCCCUUUAUGGAUUAAAACCAGACUCUGUAUCAACUGUGUAAUUUUCCAUGGGAGUUUUGCCAUGGAUCCCCCUCCGGCAUGCCACAGUCCAGGUGUUAGUCCCCUUGAAACAACUUUUCCAUCACUAUUGUGGCCAGAAAGAGUUCCUGUGUGUUUUAAAAUUCGCCUGCCCAUUAAAGUCUAUGGCGGUUCGCCCGGUUUGCCGGUUCGCGAACAUUUGCGGAAGUUCGCGUUCGCCGUUCGCAAACCGAAAAUUUUGUGUUCGCGACAUCACUAUUUGCUAUUCUGUACCAUGAGGACUCUGGAAUGUGCUGUAUAUGGAGAUUGGAGGUAGGGUCCUUAUAUGGGGAGUUUCCUUAUAUGUCCAGAGUUUAAAUUAAAACUUAUGAUGUAAUUUUGCCUAUUAAGAACUAAGAACAGUGGACCACGUUCUCUUCUCCUACUCUCCGCUCUCCUCAUCUGGUGUGUCCUGAAUUGAUGAUGGAAAGAACACUACUUAAAAAGAUCUCUCACUCUCUGUAACGGUAAGAAAUACCAUCUGUUAAGUACAUUAUUGUUUGCUUUUGAAGUAGAAUAAAUGCAUAUUUUUUAUAAAGAACGUCAGAUUGUGUAUUAAUACUUUUUGGUAAA